CCAGCCAAUAUUAGGAAAUGCUCCCUGCUGUCUUGUAAAUCUCUGAUGCCACCAGUAAUAGCUGAGGGGAGAAAUUCCAGGCCAGUGUAUUCUGAGGCAAGCAAAAUGAAAAGGGGGAGGUCACGCAUACCGUAUCACGGUCACAUUUGCUAAUGAUGAAAUCUUGCCCCCGCCAAGUCAGUUGGGAAUGUUGCCAUUUGCUGUUCUAGUGGGAAUUUUGACAGAGAUUUCAGCUGCAUGAUGCAGUUUGACAGUACAUCUGAGGCCGUCGACCAGCUAGCUCCCCCUCCCUCUGCCCCCAGCUGCUCUUUUCUUCCACUGCCUCCUUCAUAUGGGCGCAGAUGCUCAUCCGACUCAUGAACAGCAAAGAGCGAGAUACCACGUCAGCGAGGCUGUAUUGUCAUCCACAUCUCUUCACUUGCACUGAGUGUGAGAUGGGGUCUUUGGUAUACAGAGGCUUCGUAUUAACGGUAUUUUCCUGUCCUCUGGAUAUGUUUGCUACAGCAAUGCACAGGAACCAACCAGAGCUGGAGUGCAAGAGCCUCCUACGUCAGUAAACAAGAAGGGCAUAGGUUCAGGGAAAGGGACUGAUAUAGGAACAAAGGGAACAAGCGUGGUGUUACUCAUAUUUCUGUCCUUAGGUGCUCCUCAGAAGCCCUGCACCGCGGCAUGUGUGCUUGCCGGGAUGCAGGGACUCCCUCAUGACCACAACUCUGCGCAUCAGGAAGUCACUUGAGAGCAGCACAGCUCUUUCCCAGGAGAUAAGUGAGGAGUUUUUGCCUGCACAGCAGCUCUCCUGAGCGUUCCCAUGCUGGGAGGGAGGGAGGAACCCGAUCUGGCCUGCCCUGGCGCUGCUGGGAACAUCCGGGGGGCAUUAUGUAAUCUGCAGGGGAGGUUUUCCGUGCAGCCUGGCAAGGCAGUGUCUAAUGAUGGCUCUCCCUUCGUCUGUGCUGCACAAUCGAGCUCAUGAUCUUCUCUCCAGCACAGGCAGCCCAUGGUGCUGUGUCCUGCACUGCUCUGAUACGAGGACAGAGCUGUGAGCAGGACAGGGAGCCACACAGUGCUUUAAUCAAUGAAUCACCUACUCUGAGUGUUAGUUAGGCACAAAUCAUUAAUGGUCUAAAAGGGCUGGAAUAAGUAAGCCCAGCUCCAUUUUCAUGGAAGUACAGAUUGUGUCUUUUUCAGGAGGCACGGGAAACCCUUCUUAAGUUUAAAAACAAACUUCUCAACUUUGGCUUCUGAGUAAUGCCACUGAUUUCAUUUUCCAAAGGUCACAGGGGAACUCUCUUCUGCUAUUUCCAAAGAGCAUGACAAAUGUUACUCUAACAAAGAGACAAAUUGUUCAAUGCAAAUCUACUCAGCAAUUACCUUGCCAUAAAGGUAUUUACAGCAGGUACACUAAGAUAAACCAGUUUAUUUCUUACUGUUUUUCUAAGAAAAAAAGAAAAGAAAAGAAAAGAAAAGAGAAGAGAAAAGAAGAGAAAAAAGAAAAGAGAAAAGCUCUAGUCAUUUUGUGGGCUGCUCGCAAUGUGCUUGACUCACCCAUGCACGCAGGGCAACGCAGCCCUUCCUCCUGAAGAGCUCCUGAUCUCAGUCCCAGGGCAUCUGUGUAUCUGAGAUGGGAGCAGCCUUUAGUGGCACAGCAUCUCACGCUGAUAGGUCAAGCAACAAUGCCAGCUGAGGGGACGUGCAGCCAGGGCUAAGGAGAAGAUGGGAUCUUGACCUUCUUGAUUCAGAUGUGCUCUGUCUCUCCAGCAGUGAGGAAGAAUAUCAAAGGGGAGGAUAUAGCCUGCAAAUCUUCUGUCUUAAUCGAAAUGGAGACCUUUCCACAGCCCACACCUCUGAAUCAAAGGGAGCAAAUUCAUCCCCUUCCUCCCUGUUGUCAGGCUGUUGGGAAGUAGUUGGGAUAGCCCUUAUCAAAGGAAAUGCAGCCCUUUCCUUAAGCUUGUGUGUCAGUGUUGUUGUGUAAACACAGAUCAAUAAGGUGACACAAAUCCUAUCCUAUUACCAGUAUUCAGCAGCAAAUGAAGUACCCUUAAGCUUAGCAUAUUAUCAUUUCAUGCAUUUAACAAUUAAAGACUUAGAUAGGAUUAAUUACUUUUAAGGUGAGUCUUUAUAAUUGCCUCCUUAUAAUGGAGUCUGCAACCAGGCAGCAUGGCUUUAUGUCACUAGCAGAAAUCAAAGACAAUUUCUCAAAUGGAUAGAAAAUGUUUAUUUAACAGGCCUUAUGUUUCUUCUCUUAAGUUUCCCUUAAGAGAAAAAUAACUCCUGAGGAAAGAGCACGUCAAGCACUAAUACAUGAACUUGAUAAAGAACUGCCUACAGCUGGGGUUUUCACUCUAUUUUUGUUGCUCCGCGUAUGAGUAUUUUCAGCAUCGUGUUGUUUCUUUUCACAAAGCCCCUGAACAGAUCAAAUGAAGCAAUACCACAACAGAAAACUGCUGAUAGGAAUCACAGCCAUAAGUGCUGGAUGGAGUUACUAGAUCCCAAAGCCCAUUUCUGACACCUCUUUUUCAUACAAAAUGCUGAGGGAAGGGAGAGGAAGGGAGUCUUUGGAUUCCACCACAAAACAUGUCAGCUGCCUAUUUACUUAUUUGCUGCUCUGCAUUAUGACCGGCUGGCUGAAAGAGAACAGCUGGGUCCAUCAAAAGUGCUGGACCUUCAAAUGAUGGAGGGACUACAAAGGAAAACUCAGCAUGCCACAAGGAACAGAGUACAAAAGGAGUUGGACAGAGUUUCCCUAGAGGAGAUGACACUAAGAAAGAGCCUCGUGACUUCUGUUCAGGCAAAGCACUGAGUUUAGUAUGCAAAGAAGUGGGUAGGUUGUUCAGUUUGCUACCACCCAUAUACCUCAACUACAACUCGACCAGAAUGGCUAGAUGAAUUUAUAGUCAUGCCUGGCCUUGCCAUAUAUGGACCUGGAAAUAUCUCUUGUAGAAGUAAGUGCUAAUUUGUCCCACAUGGCACAGUCAUUUUUGUUUUUCUUUCCUAAGGCAGUGUACAGGGAAGUUUAUUAGUACUAACUCCACUCCACUGUAACACCACUCACAGUGCUUGGGUGAUAAAGCACAAGCCAUAAAAAGCCAUUAGUUAGGUCCUCUAGAAACAACAACAAAAAGCAAAGAUUUCAAGGAGGGUUGUUUUCGAUGGGUGGCCUGUUUCUGAUUUUUGAGGCUUCCUACUGCCUACAUUUUUCUCAGUCCUGUGAACUAGAAAUUUGUGCUUUUAUUCUUGGUAUUAACUCUCAAGGCCUUUAGAUAUUGCUCUGACUCCAAGAAGCCAGGCUUCCUGCAAAACAUAUCACAAGAUCUGUGGUAGAAGCCCUAUUUAAGUUACUGAAUUCUAAUGCAAAAAAAAAACCCAGGAGUUAGGUGGGAAGCGUGCAACUCCCACGCAAUCCUUUCCCAUUUUGCAAUGAGCUCUCAUUUGCUCCCUGGUUACAAGAUCACGAAGCAGUUGUCUUCUCAUUUCUGAAAUAUCGGCAAACCCUCCUCUGCAAAACUGAAAAUGUUUUGAAUACUAAAAUGAAGGAUGAGAUUUUUCAAGCCUGCCUGGGGGAGCAGAAUGACUCGUUCCCACUACAAUGAAAAGGGAAUGGAUCUCUGCAUCUUCUGGACAAUUGUGCAUGGGACAUUGGGGCUGGUAUUUUACAGUCUGUCACUUGCCAAGAAGUGACAGCAGUGCAGGACCUUUGCUGUGCAUGUUGGCCAUGUACAACUGUGUUUUAAAAACACGGCUCCUGAGCUGAUCUUCUGUGAGUGUCUGACUGCAGCUUGUUCAGAUGUAGUUCAGACCUUAGUCCGCAGCUCUAUCUGAGAAGCGUCUGUAAGAUUGAUCCAUAAUAGGACUUUGUAAUGCAUUGGCAGCAUUGUUUUACUGCAGGUUUUAUUGCACACGGAGAGUACUUAGGUGGCUUCCCAUCGCAGGAGGUGUUUAUCUCUUGGGUAAGGAUUAGUACAGUUCUGUACCACAAAGUCUGGUAUAGCUGAGUAAGUGGUUUAGAGUAAUCCUCCUGAGAAGGAUUGCUGUCCUGAAGGGACUCCUGAGAAGGCUCUCUGGUUGUACCAGGCUUUCAGAUGACUUUCAAGCAGUUUUCUUUCAUUUGGAGAUUGUGCAGCUUUUCUGUGAUGAGGGAGAGACUUUUCUCCAAGACAUCUGGUCAGUGUUUUGAGUUAUCAUAGAGCUCAAAGACAGUAUUUACUGUGUCAAGAAGAUGCCACUGGGUCAUCAGAAGAUGAUAAAAGUAUGACUCUUGCAAGUGGGCUCUCCAGUAUAGACAGGGUCCUGCCUGGACAACUCUGGGUUCUGCUUAUCUGUCUCAUGCAGAUUUGAUUCUCAACAUACUCUUGUUUUGCAUUAAGGCACCUUCAGAAUUGCAAAUGAAGUUAAGCACCACGCCAGAGGUGCUUUGCAGUAACAGGGUAGGCAUGCCUUCAAUGCAGUGCCCAGUCACGUGGAAAUCUGUUUUCUAGCGUUUGGAAUAAAGGGCAAACAGGAGCUCCUUAAGCUCACAGUGAUUGGAGGAGUGGGGAGUCCUAUAUCCUCUCUGCCUCUUUCUAUCCUCAUAUAAAGGUUGAUAAUUUCUGUUCUUAAAAUGCCCCAGCCUAGCUGGAUCUUAUUUUUUUAUUAGCCACUUAGUGUAAAUUUCUGCUCUGGGCUAUGUAGGAAAUACGAUUCUAGUUCACACAUCUUGAGUUUAGAGAAAAAAAGAAAGGAAGCAGUAUCGCUCUGUCUUAGAGGGAUAUUGCUAGACUAAGAAGGAGGUCAUACACAAUGGCAAAAUAGAAAUGAUGGUAGUUGCAAUAGGAGUCUUGAUGGUGAAGGAGAUUUUAAACAGUCCAGAUAUAAAACAUAUCCUUGGGGCCCUGGCAAGGAUGCAAACAUCUCUCCCACACAACCUCAGUCGCUCUUGAAAAGCCAAGUCCUGGAAUUUUAAAAAGCAAAAAUAUUACAGCGAUAGCAACAACAAACAUGAAAAUCAGAUGUUAAAUGAUUGCUAAUGAUCUUAUCAAUGUAUAAAUGAGAGGAAGAGGAGGGAGUAAGAAGCACUUAAUAUUCUUCAGGGUUUAUUUUUAAUUCUUCAACAAUUAUUGAUGGAACUAAAGCAAUCCAUAACAUCAGGGUUUUACAGGGAGUUUUCUGUUUUAUAAUAGAAAAGACAGACAUUAUGGUGUUUGGCAGAGGAGGGGAAAUGGAUUCCUGCAACACAGAAAAAGCCAAGGGAAGAAUAUAGAACCAAGAUCCUGUGGGAUGGUUGGGUUUUUGCCUGGACAGCUAAUUUCAGCUUUUUUCAGGCUCAGCUGGACCCGAAAGCCCAGGACCACCUACAGCAGAUUGGAGAUGUGGAGAUACCCAGUGUGCAUUGAUGGAUAUCUCACCAUAACACCAGUCAGGCAGUCGCAGGCAACACAUUGGUCCUUCCUGCGAGCUGCACUCCAGCUCAGGUACGUGGCGUGUGCUGUGCUAGGGUGAAGAGAGAAGUGACAACCGAGUGAACACGUUGCAGGCACUGUGCACGUUUGGCUCUCCAACUCAGAGAUAACCCAGAGGAAUGGUCAGACGACUGAGAGACGUAACUGCUCUGGCAACCCAGCUGGGCCACAGGAUAUUUGUAGGAAAUGGAGCUGCAGCAGGGAAAUCUGGACAGUUGGAGCUUCCCUUGUGCAAAAGGACCAGGGCACAAAUGCCAGCUGCUGUGUGUAAAAUUCCUCCUUCCUUUGCUGUAGCAAGCUGCGAACAGCGCUAUGCCUAGUCAAUUAUUUCACCGACAUGUCAUGAACUUUAUCCUUUACCUUUGCAACAACUCUGUAUUUUAAUGUUGCGUUGAGAAUCCUGAGAAAUAAACAUUCUUCUAUGUUACAGCA